UCUUGUAUGCUGUGUAUAAGAAACUCACUUGAAACUUACCAAUAUAGGGCAGGCCAAAUUAAAAGGAUGAAAAAAGAUAUUUUACACAAACAUUAAUGCAAGGAAAGCAAGAGUGCCUGUAUGUAUAUCAGCUAAAGCAAAGAAAAUUACCAGAAACAGAGAGAUUAUAUAAUGAUCAAAGGUUUAAUCCAUGAAGAAGACAGGAAUUUUAAAAGUGUAUUCACCAAACAACAGAACUUCAAAAUAUGUGAUGUGAAAACUGCCAGAACCAAGGAGGGUGGGGCUCUGACCUGCGCUGUCUCAGGAUGUAAAGUGUAACAAGGGGCUGAGGGGGUGGGGAGGGGCAGCAUGGGGCUGUGAGGCCUGUGGAGUGCCCGCAUUCCCCAAUUCCCCCUGCAGCUGGCUCCGCAGUGGUCUGCUCCGCUUGGUUGCCGCGUGCCGAUUCGGGUUCCAGAACCAAGGCUGCGUGUUCUCCACCGCUUGUUGUGGCCAGUGUUACUGCGGUGACCCCAGAGCAGCCUUGGCUCUAUGAAGGAGCCAGGUGCUACCCCUCAGCCCUAUUUGGGGCUGGUCCUGGAGGGGCUACGCAGCCUUGUGGCAGCACUGCCUGAAAGUAGGAGACCAGAUUCGAAUCCUUAUGGUUUUCCAUGGGACUUGGUGGUAUGUGCAGCUGUUGUUGGAUUUUUUUGCUGUUCUCCUUUUUUUGUGGAGAAGUUUUAGAUCAGUUAGGAGUCGGCUUUAUGUGGGAAGAGAAACGAAACUUGCUGCAACGCUUUCUGGACUAACUGAAGAAAAAUGUAAACUGCUUGAAAAAUUUAGCCUUAUUCAAAAAGAAUAUGAAGGCUAUGAAGUAGAGUCAUCUUUAGAGGAUGCCAGCUUUGAGAAGGCGGCAGCAGAAGUACGAAGUUUGGAGGCAGCCUGUGAAAGGCUGAACAGGUCCAAUUCUGAACUUGAGGAUGAAAUCCUCUGUCUAGAGAAAGAGUUCAAAGAAGAGAAAUCUAAACAUUCUCAACAAGAUGAAUUGAUGGCAGAU